UGGGGAAUUUUGGACAAUGGGCGAAAGCCUGAUCCAGCAAUGCCGCGUGUGUGAAGAAGGCCUUCGGGUUGUAAAGCACUUUUGUCCGGAAAGAAAUCCUUGGCUCUAAUACAGUCGGGGGAUGACGGUACCGGAAGAAUAAGCACCGGCUAACUACGUGCCAGCAGCCGCAGUAAUACGUAGGGUGCAAGCGUUAAUCGGAAUUACUGGGCGUAAAGCGUGCGCAGGCGGUUUGCUAAGACCGAUGUGAAAUCCCCGGGCUCAACCUGGGAACUGCAUUGGUGACUGGCAGGCUAGAGUAUGGCAGAGGGGGGUAGAAUUCCACGUGUAGCAGUGAAAUGCGUAGAGAUGUGGAGGAAUACCGAUGGCGAAGGCAGCCCCCUGGGCCAAUACUGACGCUCAUGCACGAAAGCGUGGGGAGCAAAACAGGAUUAGAUACCCUGGUAGUCCACGCCCUAAAACGAUGUCAACUAGUUGUUGGGGAUUCAUUUCCUUAGUAACGUAGCUAACGCGUGAAGUUGACCGCCUGGGGAGUACGGUCGCAAGAUUAAAACUCAAAUGAAUUGACGGGGUCAUAGCUGUUUCCU
rnacentral:rRNA from 1 species